UGUGUGUGUGUGUGUGUGUGUGUGUGUGCGCACAUAUAUAUAUAUAUAUAUAUAUAUGCGCGCACACACACACACACACACACACACA